rnacentral:rRNA from 1 species
GUACACGCUGUGACUAGCAUAUCAAUAAGCGGAGGAAAAGAAACUAACAAGGAUUCCCCUAGUAACGGCGAGUGAAGCGGGAAGAGCUCAAAUUUGAAAUCUUAAAGGGUUUCCCUUUACGAAUUGUAGUUUAAAGAAGUGUUUUCUGUUGAGGUUUUGGUAAAAGUUCUUGGAAUAGGACAUCAUAGAGGGUGAGAAUCCCGUAUUUGACCUUUACUUUCAACUUUGUGAUACACUUUCAAAGAGUCGGAUUGUUUGGGAAUGCAGUCCAAAAUGGGUGGUAAAUUUCAUCUAAAGCUAAAUAUUGGCGUGAGACCGAUAGCGAACAAGUACCGUGAGGGAAAGAUGAAAAGAACUUUGAAAAGAGAGUUAAACAGUACGUGAAAUUGUCAAAAGGGAAGCGUUUGACACCAGUGUUGUUUUUCUGAAAAUCAAUUAAAGAACUGUUUAUGCUAAGCUGUUUAGACUUUAUCAGCUAACUGUUUAGUUUUGAGCUUUUCUUUAAUGCACUUUUCAGUUAACAAGUCAACAUCAAUUUCUUUUGCUGUAAAAAAGCUUGAGGAAGGUGGCUUGAGAUUCGUCUUAAGUGUUUAUAGCCUCUUGCCUAUGCAGUCGGAGAGAUUGAGGUCUGCAGCGUAGAUCCUUCGGGGCUAAAUGCAUUUGUGCUAAGUUAUAGCAUUUUAUAGACAACUUGUUGACUAUGAUUUGUCUUGUAGCUUACUCGCUUAUGUUAUUUUACCUACGCUUAGGAUGUUGAGUCGUAGAGCACGCAG